GUGGCUUGGCAUGCAGGGCAGUGGAUCUGGAGUAGCUGAAGCUCUAGAGAUGGACGAAAAUGAUGAUGAUGAUGAAGACUUUGAAGAUGUGGAAGACGGAGACGAGGAGGACUUUGAUGAUAGCAUGGGCUGAGGAGAUGAGAUAACAUCUACUGAUGGAUGCUAUCUGCACUAGAACAUGACUUUUCUAUCUUUUGUUUUUG
rnacentral:lncRNA from 1 species